rnacentral:rRNA from 1 species
CCUACGGGAGGCAGCAGUAGGGAAUAUUGCUCAAUGGGGGAAACCCUGAAGCAGCAACGCCGCGUGGAGGAUGAAGGUUUUCGGAUUGUAAACUUCUUUUGUUAGAGAAGAUAAUGACGGUAUCUAACGAAUAAGCACCGGCUAACUCCGUGCCAGCAGCCGCGGUAAUACGGAGGGUGCAAGCGUUAUUCGGAAUCACUGGGCGUAAAGAGCGCGUAGGCGGGAUAGCAAGUCCGAUGUGAAAUCCGAGGGCUUAACCAGAGAACUGCAGUUGAAACUGUUAGUCUAGAGUAUGGGAGAGGUAAGUGGAAUUCGUGGUGUAGCGGUAAAAUGCGUAGAUAUCAAGAGGAACACUCAUCGCGAAGGCGACCUGCUGGAACAUAACUGACGCUGAGGCGCGAAAGCGUGGGGAUCAAACAGGAUUAGAUACCCGUGUAGUC